GAGACUUGCUGCUUGAAAGUCACUGUUCGACACCAUGAUCUCAGUGGGUCACGUUUGAGAUACACCAACCUGGAGGACUGCAUGCUGUGAGCUGUUCACAAGCACCGGACACUUCCA
rnacentral:pre_miRNA from 1 species